AGGACUUUGUUGCAGUGAUGUUCAUAAGAGUGAAAAUUUAGAAGCCACUGGAAUGUCCAUCAAUGUGGGAGUAGAGAAAUGGAAAAGAGGAUGAUCCUGUGCUGGAAUAUUAGACAGGAGUGAAAAGAGAACACAUAGCUCCUCCCCACCUCUGUCUCUACAUAUAUGUAUUAGAGUUCCCUUGUGGCUCAGUGGAUUAAGGACCUGGUAUUGUCACUGCAACAGCUUGGGUUGCAGCUGUGGUGUGGGUUUGAUCCCUGGCCUAGGAACUUCCAGGUAGGUGCUGUAGGUAUGGCAAGAAAGAAGGAUGCAUACAUGGAUCUCAAAAAGAUACUGCUGAGUGAAAAACAUAUGAUGAUAGUGCAGUAUGCUACUAUUUAUAAACAUUAAAUGCACACAUGUGUUGUUUCCAGAUACAUCUCUUUCUGUGGAAGUAAAUACAGAUUAUGGAAGUGAUUCUCCCUGCUGGGAGCAAAGUGAUUUUGUUCUGGGUACUUGCGUCUUUCAAGUAUGUCUCCCUACAGUGGUCAGUGAGAUCAGGUCACUGUAGAUCAGUGGUCACUGGAGUCCAGUGGCCAGAGUGGAAUGUAACCUGAUGGUCAGUGCAGCUGGGCACAUGAGUGUGAUGGAGUUGGCUAAAGGGACCAGAGGGACUAGAGUGAAAAUGGCCCUGAUGCUACCAUAUGUCCAGGCUAUAUAAAGAGCUCUUACAAAUAAACAAGAAAAAGGCAGAAAUGUCAUAGGAAAAAUGGGCCUUUAUAAGAGACUCUCCAAAUGGCUAAUCAAUGAAAAGAUACUUGACAUCAUGAGUCAUGAGGGAAAUGUAAGUUAAAACCAAAAUGCCAUGACAUCUACUAGAAAGGCUAAUGUGAGAAAGACCAUAUCAAGUGACAUUUCUAUGCUGCUGAUGGGAAUAUAAAACGACACAACCGCUUUGGAAAACUGGCAGGAUCCACAAAGCUAAAUGAACACCUACACUACGGUUCCUAGGAAUAAACUCAAAGAAAAUGCAGACUUACAUUCACUGAAAAACCUAUGAGAAUGUUCCUAACACCUCUGCUUGUAAUAAUUCCAAACCAUCUGAAUGCCCAACAAAAGGGUGUGUCAAUAAAUUGUGGUGACUUUGAAAUGGAACACGAUAUAGCAGUGAUUCUCAACCAGGGGUGAUUUUUAGCCCUAAGGUGACAUUUGGCCACGUCUAGAGACAUUAUUGGUUGUCAGAGCUUGGAGGAGGGGGCAGCGCUACCAUCAUCCAGGGGAUGGACCCCUGGGAUGCUGCUCAACAUCCGACAAUGCAUGGGACACACAAGGAAAUUUUCAGCCUCAAACUUCAGCGGUGGUUGAGAAACGCAACAAUAACGACAAUGAAAGCGAAUUGUUGGAGACCACUGAAACUGCUGAACGAUGCAGUAAACAAAUUUGGCGCACGUGCAAAAGCACAACCACUAAGAGAGCUUUAGCAUCACCUGCACCUGAUUUUGCUCAUUAACCCACGUCACCUUCCCUAAUAAAAGUCAUGAGGGCUAAAGCCUAGGCGCCUUUGUUCUGUGGAACAGAGCGCUUUAUGGUCCUCACUCUCUAGCUGUAAAAGAGUCUUGUGUGUUUUGUUAUGCCGCGAUGUCCCUCUUUAAGGAUUGCCCUGCUGCGCUGGUCUCGGCAGAGUGGCGCCCAACAUGGGGCUGGAAGAGAAGGUUGACCUCGAGCAGGGAAAAGAAAAAUUAAGGUCUGCCACAAGCAGGAAAACGUGAAACUACAGACGAUGGAAACGGUGGCCUUGCACUCGACAGAGUCGUGACCGAUAACCAACCAUCACAUUUUGCUUGGGACCCUCCCAGUGUGAGCCCUAGAAGUCCCGUGUACCAGGCACCAGAUGGUGGGUUGCAGUACCUCGGCGUCCAGGGGUUUUAUUUGCUGAAUUGCACAGACCCUGCAGGCGUGCAGGAAGCCUGCCCUGAAUACUCAAUGCUCACAGCUGGGAUGGAGUAGGAGGACAGAAGAAAGGCAUGGAGCAUCCAAAAAGCAGCUCAACUGCAGAAGGUCCAGCCUGCAUCUCUUCCUGCCAGACUGAGCCCUUUUCAGCCUCCCCACCUUUGCCCAAGUAAUACCUUCCACUUGAAAUUUCCCCCUGACCCCCACCCACCCAAAUCUUUUUUUUUUUUCUGCCCCUCAACAUAUGGAG